AAAUUGAAGAGUUUGAUCAUGGCUCAGAUUGAACGCUGGCGGCAGGCCUAACACAUGCAAGUCGAACGGUAACAGAAAGCAGCUUGCUGCUUUGCUGACGAGUGGCGGACGGGUGAGUAAUGUCUGGGAAACUGCCUGAUGGAGGGGGAUAACUACUGGAAACGGUAGCUAAUACCGCAUAACGUCGCAAGACCAAAGAGGGGGACCUUCGGGCCUCUUGCCAUCGGAUGUGCCCAGAUGGGAUUAGCUUGUUGGUGGGGUAACGGCUCACCAAGGCGACGAUCCCUAGCUGGUCUGAGAGGAUGACCAGCCACACUGGAACUGAGACACGGUCCAGACUCCUACGGGAGGCAGCAGUGGGGAAUAUUGCACAAUGGGCGCAAGCCUGAUGCAGCCAUGCCGCGUGUAUGAAGAAGGCCUUCGGGUUGUAAAGUACUUUCAGCGGGGAGGAAGGGAGU
rnacentral:rRNA from 1 species